GCAUCUCCCUUAAGACCCGCCUCAAAGGUACUGUGAAAGUCCUUUAGAAAGGGACAGCAGACAAUGGCAUCGGAUGGAAGGAGGUUCAAACACUGCCUCUUAAAAGCUGUGACUUUGAGACAGACGCUUGCCUCUCUGAGCAGCGUUCCUUCUUACAGCAAAAAGACACGGCCCGCCUCACCUCGGUGCCACUUUCCUGGGGGGAGAGCAAUGCAGGAAGAAGCCCCGGUGCCGAGGUAUGUGUCAUCACCAUGACACAGACACCAACACCGCCCAACACCCACUACCUCCCCUUGGUUCCUGGAAGGCAGAGACCCAACCACUUCCUGAAACGGUGUGGGUGGGAGCUUAGCCCUUCAGUUCCUGGGGGCAAGACAGCUUGUGGGGGACCAGCGGGACUGAAAGUCAGGGUCCUAUCUGCAGGCAUGCUGAUGUACAGCUGUAAGCCCAGCAUUCGGUUGGUAGAGGCGGAAGAACACAAGCUCCGAGGUAAAGGUAAAUAAACAAGAGCUGGGGCCGUGCCUCCUGGUGGAGGGUGUGCCUCAGUGGUGGUGGAGGGUGUGCCUCAGUGGUGGUGGAGGGUGUGCCUCAGUGGUAGAACAUUUGCUUAGCACAGAAAAAGACGAGGCUCCUGGGCCUGUCCAGAGUGACCAGUUUGACAUCACAGAAAUCCCUCAGUUUCUACUAACCAGAGCCACUGGCCACUCCAGGCCAGUCCCUGCCAUCUGUGCACCUUUACAGGCCUGGUCCUGGAACACCAUGACCUGGGACACCUGCCCUCUGCAAGGAUAGAAUCCCAUAGCUCUGAUGGAAGCCAUGUCUGAAACAGGUGGGCUGGAGUCCAGCACCCCCGCAUCACUGGUGAUGUCUCCUGAGGUCCAGGUGUGCUCUCCAGGGAAAGCGACAUUCAUCAACCCCAUCACGCUGCUGCUGCAGUGGGCUCUUCUCUGGAUGAACUCCCCCAUCUUCUUCCAGGGACGCCCAGCUCCCAGGACCCCCAUGACACAGAUGAGGGAGAGCUAACCCUCUUCUCCUCAGACCACAGGAAAUCAAGAGUGGGCUAGGCUGAACUUCAAGAAGGUGAAGCCACAUCGAAUUUGUCUCAACACUUCCCUGCCUAUUUCCUGUCCUUCACCCCCAAACCAGUAGCUACCUCCCUAGGCCCUGGAGUUUAUGAAGAACGGGUUUUGUGGGGCCUCGGUCCUCUGAGAAGCUUGGACCUUUUGAGUCCCUGAACAUCAUCUUAGAGUUUGAGACUCCAAGAAAGGCAAAGCCUACACCAACAAUCAGGGGAGACUGAGGCACAGGUACCCCAGGUCCCAUGAGGGGUUUAUAGGAGAGUCAGAUAACAGUCCAUCAUAGGUCUGUCCCAGGCAAAGCUGUGUGACCUUGAGCAACUCAAUUUACCUCUCUGAGCCCUGGAUAUCCAAUCUGCAACAUAGGUGCGCCUCAGCUUACCAUGGGAUUUAGUGCCUAUAAGUCUAUGGUAGCAUGAACAUGCGAGCACACUCGACCUGAAAAACAUUGCCGAGUAGCCAGGCCCACGUAAAAUGUGUUGGAAAGGCUGACCUUAGCCUGCAUUUGGCAACAUUGUUGCUAAAUCCAGCCUGCAGUGUUUAAGAAUCAAUAGCCCAGGGUAGAUAAGAUUCAAAACUUAAAGUGUGGGUCCUGUCCUCCAGAAUAAAGAACUUCUUUUUUUGA